rnacentral:rRNA from 1 species
GAUGAACGCUAGCGGCAGGCCUAAUACAUGCAGGUCGGACGGGAUUCAGGAGCUUGCUUCUGAUGAGAGUGGCGCACGGGUGCGUAACACGUAUGUAACCUACCUUUAUCAGGGGGAUAGCCUCUCGAAAGAGAGAUUAAGCCCGCAUAAAAUCACAGCACAGCAUUGUGUAAUGAUCAAAUAUUUAUAGGAUCAAGAUGGGCAUGCGGAACAUUAGCUAGAUGGCGGGGUAACGGCCCACCAUGGCGACGAUGUUUAGGGGAUCUGAGAGGAUGGCCCCCCACACUGGUACUGAGACACGGACCAGACUCCUACGGGAGGCAGCAGUAAGGAAUAUUGGUCAAUGGGCGGAAGCCUGAACCAGCCAUGCCGCGUGCAGGAAGACGGCCCUACGGGUUGUAAACUGCUUUUAUACGGGAAUAAACCCAGAUACGUGUAUCUGGCUGAAUGUACUGUAAGAAUAAGGAUCGGCUAACUCCGUG